AUAAGACGUUAGGGGUUUUUCCAAAAUGAGAGCACAAGAAAAAAUAGCAGCGUGCAAAACAGUCAAACAAGAAUUCUGUGUCACAAGUAAAAAGUGGGAAAUACGUGAAGCAAACGUAACAACUGAUCAGCAUUUAUAUUUUAUUGGGAAUCGUUUCAAAACGUACCUCUGAUGGAAUUCAACAUGAUUUUUCUGGCACCGAACGAAGAUAUACCGAUGCUGAUCAAGUCCUCGUCCUUUAACGUGGAAAACAUGGCCAGGUCGACUUCGUUCUGAACAAAUAAAUCUGUUCGAGAUAUAAUCCAGAAUUAGAGAUCUUUCACCUUAAAAAGUAAAGGAAAAGAAAAACAAGGGAUAUAGCACUAUCAUACUUGAAUAAUGAGACAAGCCGACAUUUUCCAGCAAUUGUGAGAGAAGACGAGAUGAAUUCUGGUCGAAUCGGGAGGCAGCCAAUGAUGCUGGAAUGCAGGAUUCAAUUGCAGCUCCUAAAAUAUGAUGUGUGUUAACAUUUCAUCACACUUUAAAUGAAUCAAUAAUAGUAGAACGAAGUUUACGAGGUGAAGAAAGUCUCGAAUUGUUUGAACUGCAAGAUUCCGAAACAUCACCCAUCAAGAUCGCACUUGGUUGCCGAGAAACGCUUUGUGUUGUAGAUGACAAAAAACUCGAAAGUUUUGCCGAAGAGCGAACUGGAGAUAAAUGAAAAAGUGAUUUCUACAAGUGCUAACCACGAUUCUGGCAAACUUGGCAGAAUUCUCUGAUCAAAAGGCAGAUCAAGGCAGCGUCUCAUCAAAUCAAAUAGGUUACCUAGCGAGUCGAAUUGUCAAAGUGUUCGAAAGUGAACGUUCCACCCUAAACAAGAUGUCAGUUGUUUUCGCCUCUUCCAAAAAAAAGGGAUUGAAACGUUGUGAUUCAGUCUGAACCAUCAGCUGCAUUGGCAAAAGUCCCUAUUCAAAUGAAAAAGCGAGUGUACAGAAGUGGCCAGAUGAACUUGAUCUAAAGAACCACGGAUCCAAAUACAAUACUUUUUCGGCAACUCUGUCGAGAUAGAAACAUCGGGGCAACGGAUGCCGGCGCCUGUUAUGGCUACAAUUUGGUCUACGUGGUCGCGAACAACCCAAACGUGAUCGAAUGAUGUCUCCAUCUUCACCACCACAGACUCCUGCAUUGUGGAUAAAAUAUUACUACAAUAAAUAUUUGUUUUUUCAGGCAGUGGUGUUUGACACGAUUCUGUUGCCCGCGGAUGUUCACCUGGCAAUCGACACCGUCGAUCUUUGGGUAGAAACGCAACAGGACGCCAAAAGUCGUAGAGAAGUAUUGAAGCAAUGAUGACUGGCCGAUGGAAUUGAUCCGUUCAAGGCUACAAUCGACAACGAAUUCGACCGGGAUAUCCGCCUAGACGAUUAAAAGGAUCAGCAAGUCUCAGCAAUUAAAAUUGCCGAAUAAACAACGAAUUACCCGAAUACGUUGACGAGCCAUUUCAAGACCUGCAAGUCGACCCCGAAUGAUGACGCUGUUACUCUUUGACUCUCCGGCGAUACGAUUGCGAUCUGGGAAAUGAAUUCGAGUUCCAGUAUCCUCCAUUAUCCGAUUGAUAUUCCGUCCAGAUCUGCCGAUCAGAUGAGAAUGAAACGGAUAACUCACUUCUAUGGCAAGUGUAGGAUAAAAAGCAAGAUUAUUAAAUGAAAAGGACAGUUUACCUUUGCCAUUUGCUGCGAGGCUGCUGACGAAGAAAGAUGGAGCGAGAGCAUGUUGUUGGGUAAACAGAGGAAGAAAGUGAGACUGAUGACUCUUCCAUGGGAGUACUGGACAUAUAAGUAGGGUCACUUGCUAGCCGUUCGAGGUCAAAUGGGUAGGGUUGAUGGUUCCUACCCUGCUUCACCCCUUUCUAUCCAAAUGUCGGAGCUUUUCAGAAGAAGAGGACGGCGUCGGUGAAAUUGCUUAUGAUGUAACAGGCCUCCAAGAGACAGUUAACAACAAAGGGACGCGCGAUAACAACCUUGUUUGAAACCAAAAACAGAGCGGCAUUCAAUUCUCUAGAAGAAAAAAAGAUGGUCGGUGCUAAACGUUUGUGCAACGUGACGGGUAGCUCAAUGUUGCCGGAAAGAGGCAAGAAAUGUGACGCCGUUUUUACAACCUAGAAAUGCAAAAAUGAAAUGAAAUACAAUUUUUAAUAAUAAAA